AUACGUAGGAUCCGAGCGUUAUCCGGAUUUAUUGGGUUUAAAGGGUGCGCAGGCGGCCAUUUAAGUCAGCGGUUAAAUCGUGGGGCUCAACCCCAUUCUGCCGUUGAUACUGGGUGGCUUGAUUGCGGUCGAGGUUGGCGGAAUUCGUUGAGUAGCGGUGAAAUGCAUAGAUAUGACGAAGAACACCGAUUGCGUAGGCAGCUGACCAGACCGCAAAUGACGCUCAUGCACGAAAGUGCGGGGAUCGAACAGGAUUAGAUACCCUGGUAGUCCGCACAGUAAACGAUGAAUACUUGUUUUCGGCGAUAUAAUGUCGGAGGCAAAGCGAAAGCGAUAAGUAUUCCACCUGGGGAGUACGCCGUCAACGGUGAAACUCAAAUGAAUUGGCGGGG
rnacentral:rRNA from 1 species